GGUGUCUUGGAGAAGUGGUAACUCGCUCCUUUUGGGGAAAUAAACUUUUCAGAAUAGGAGAGAUCAGGGGUUCGAACCCCCUAGGCGCCC